AAAGAGCCACACUCCCAGAGUGACAUCGUUCUUCGACUAUGAGAAAGGGACCAAGAGGCUUUCUCCAUUGGAUCAUAUGAACUGGAAUCAUAAACUCCCUGAACAUUCAAUCUCCCCAAAUGAGGGUCAUCAUCAAAUGAGGGCCAUCCUCAUCAUCAUAGCCACUCAUUAUACUCCACACCCGAACAUAGCCACUUUAUGAACUUCAUACCCUCAUAUCUCAGUUUCUGUACUCUGACCCAUCAACCUUUUACCUCCAAUUGGGGAUAUUGCAGAUUAUGUAUUCCUUAUGCCACCCAAUCUUAAACCAAAUGUUGCACCCUCGAUAAUCUGUAUGUUAUUCCCUGAUAACCAGAAACUUCUAUGCUUAAACUCUGUA